UGGGGGGUCUAUCGCAUCUCUUCGACACUGACGUGAGCGGAACGAAAACAACAACACCUAAAAUGUGGAAUAUAGCAUAUAGUCGACAAGAGAAAUCUACGAAAAACAAACAAAACUUUCAACAACGGAUCUCUUGGUUCUCGCAUCGAUGAAGAGCGCAGCGAAAUGCGAUACCUAGUGUGAAUUGCAGCCAUCGUGAAUCAUCGAGUUCUUGAACGCACAUUGCGCCCCUCGGCAUUCCGGGGGGCAUGCCUGUUUGAGCGUCGUUUCCAUCUUGCGCGUGCGCAGAGUUGGGGGAGCGGAGCGGACGACGUGUAAAGAGCGUCGGAGCUGCGACUCGCCUGAAAGGGAGCGAAGCUGGCCGAGCGAACUAGACUUUUUUUCAGGGACGCUUGGCGGCCGAGAGCGAGUGUUGCGAGACAACAAAAAGCUCGACCUCAAAUCAGGUAGGAAUACCCGCUGAACUUAAGCAUAUCAAUAAGCGGAGGAAUUGGC
rnacentral:misc_RNA from 1 species